CGACUCGCUCGGAGCAGCAUUCGAUAGCCUGAUACGCAAAAACAAAAUUGAGAAAUUGGUCGCUCUGGAUUUUCCGCCCAGAAAAGAACACCUCAGGAGCCAGGACCUCUCUCAUUCGUUCAGAAAUUCGAUCGAACAACAGGGGUGAUAUUUCCUACAAAUUUGUGGGUUUUCAGGAUAACUUACAAUGGCAGGGAGACAUCGUGUUCCACGUGAAGCGAUGAAUGACCGGCGUGGUUAUCCUAUUGAAGGACCUUAUGGCCGAGGUCCUCCUAUGCGGUCUCUUCCCCAUCCUGCAAUGUUGGAGGAAGAGCUUGAAAUGCAACAUGCGGAAAUUCGGAGACUCUUGGCUGAUAACCGGAGGCUGGUUGAGGACCGGAUGGUGUUGCAGCAUGAGCUUGGUGCUGCCAAGGAAGAAAUUCAUCGGAUGAAUGUUGCCUUUUCAGAUAUUCGUGCCGAAGAAGAAAUGAAAUCAAGGGAGCUCUAUGAGAAAAGUAGGAAAUUGGAGGCUGAUCUACAGGCAACUGAGCCCUUGAAAAAUGAGGCUAAGCAACUUCGCUCUGAAGUUCAGAAGCUGAAUACUGUUAGGAAGGAGCUUGCCACACAAGUUCAGACCCUCACGCAGGACCUUGCGAGGUUGCAGUCUGACAAUAAGCAGAUUCCUAUGCUGAGGACUGAGAUUGAUGGUCUGCAUCAGGAGCUUAUGUUUUGUCGAAAUGCGGUUGAUUAUGAAAAGAAGGCAAAUAUUGAGCUUAUGGAGCAAAGACAGGCAAUGGAGAAGAACCUAGUUUCUAUGGCACGUGAAGUUGAGAAACUACGGGCAGAACUUUCUAGGGCUGAUGGUAGACCAUGGGGUACAGGUGGACAAUAUGGUAUGAAUUUCACCAGCCCAGAAGGGGCUUUUCCUGCUGCAUAUGGAGAUGGAUAUGCGAUGCACAUGGGUGCUGCUGACAAAGGGCCUAUGUAUGGCCUGGGUCCAGCUUCAUGGGGAGGUUCUGAAAAGCCUCGCAUGACUCGUCGCUGACAUCUGGGUGAUUAUUGUUUCAAUGACAGAGUUAUACAUGCCACCUUUGGUUGCUCGUCAUCUGAGCCUAAGUGGUCAAGAAGCUUUAGCAUCUAUGCGUGCACGGCAGAUCAGUAGCCACUUAUUUUUCUCAAUACAUUAUGGAAGGCACGUAUUCAAAUGCAUUAAACAAAUAUUGAGUGGACCUGCUGUACCGGAGGAGAAUAGACGUAAAUGUGAUUUAUACAAGAGGUUGGUUUGACUUAAAGACUGAUGGAAGAAAAUAUCUUAGCCAGUUGUUGAAAUUGGUGAUAAUAGCAAAGUCUAUGCAACCUGUUAAUGUUGUUGAAGACCCGAAGGUGUAAGGAUGCCCCAUGCAGGUUGUCAUUUCCGCUAGUGAGUGCAUACUUCCCAUCUCCUUUACUUGAGUUCAGAUACGCAUAAAUCACCGAAGGAUGCCAUCAGACGAUCAAAAGAUUCUCAAGGGUAAAGGUUAAUUUUCUCCCUAAAAGAAGGGGUGUAAUUUGGCUGUCCCGCUUGCUCCCAUGCACUCCUCUCCUGAUUGUGGCCGGCCACCCGGUGACACAAUCUUCUCACGGUAUGCUGCGACUGUUGGACGACGUCCUGAAGAUGUUGUGGAUGGAUUUACUAGGUCAAUCCCAGAAAUGCUCGUGACAGUUGAAGUAGGGGAACCUUCAAGGCGGUAAAAAUCAUAUCAACGCAGCUCCGUUUUGUUGGUCAAAGCAAUCCUAAAACGCAGCCUAUCUUCUGAUUCUAAGAUUCCGGCUUACGGUAGCACAGAACAGUCAACAUUUUCAGUCUCGAAGGAUAGAGUUUCAUCCGGCAUCUGAAUGCCGGAUUCCGGAUUCCGGAUUCCAACAAAGUAGCAACUGCCAUUUGCCUGACCCGAAAGUAACCGCAGCUGUUGGGUAGAACCGUACAAGUAAUACAUCAGAGGAAUUAAUUGUCUACAAAACUCAUCACACUUUUCUU